rnacentral:snRNA from 1 species
CUACCACUCUGGCCUUUUGGCUUAGAUCAAGUGUAGUAUCUGUUCUUAAUAGGUGCGAGAUCGAAGCCAAAAGCCGGGCGUUCGAGCCCGUUUUAGAGCGUUUUUUACUGACGUGCAUUUUUUUCUUUCGCAGUUUAACCACUAUUAUGGAGGCACCGCCUCCAUUCUUGGUUAUCUUAUUUUUGCCGCCCUUGCUCCCUGUCCUCUGCUUGCACGACGGGGACGUGAUGACCU